CAGCCGCCGCGGUAACACGGAGGGUGCAAGCGUUAAUCGGAAUUACUGGGCGUAAAGCGCACGCAGGCGGUCUGACAAGUCAGAUGUGAAAUCCCCGGGCUUAACCUGGGAACUGCAUUUGAAACUGUCAGGCUGGAGUCUUGUAGAGGGGGGUGGAAUUCCAGGUGUAGCGGUGAAAUGCGUAGAGAUCUGGAGGAAUACCGGUGGCGAAGGCGGCCCCCUGGACAAAGACUGACGCUCAGGUGCGAAAGCGUGGGGAGCAAACAGGAUUAGAUACCCGGGUAGUCCCUGUCUCUUAUAA
rnacentral:rRNA from 1 species